rnacentral:rRNA from 1 species
AUUGAACGCUGGCGGCAGGCUUAACACAUGCAAGUCGAGCGCGCGGCGGACGGGUGAGUAAUGUCUGGGAAACUGCCUGAUGGAGGGGGAUAAACACUGGAAACGGUAGCUAACACCGCAUACCAUCAGAAGUCCCCAGAUGGGAAUAGAUUGUAGGUGGGGGAAUGGCUCACCUAGGCGAUGAUCCCUAGCUGGUCUGAGAGGCUGACGAGCCACACUGGAACUGAGACACGGUCCAGACUCCUACGGGAGGCAGCAGGGGGGAAUAUUGCACAAUGGGCGCAAGCCUGAUGCAGCCAUGCCGCGUGUGUGAAGAAGGCCUUCGGGUUGUAAAGCACUUUCAGCGAGGAGGCGUUACUCGCAGAAGAAGCACCGGCUAACUCCGUGCCAGCAGCCGCGGUAAUAC